rnacentral:rRNA from 1 species
UACGUAGGGUGCGAGCGUUAAUCGGAAUUACUGGGCGUAAAGCGCGUGUAGGCGGCUAUGUAAGUCGGGCGUGAAAUCCCACGGCUCAACCGUGGAAGUGCACCCGAAACUGCGUAGCUAGAGUCCUGGAGAGGAAGGUGGAAUGCUUGGUGUAGAGGUGAAAUUCGUAGAUAUCAAGCGGAACACCGGUGGCGAAGGCGGCCUUCUGGACAGUGACUGACGCUGAGACGGCGAAAAGCGUGGGGAGCCAAACAGGG